GACGAACGCUGGCGGCGUGCCUAAUACAUGCAAGUCGAACGCAGUGGGGACGGGUGAGUAACACGUGGGUAACCUCCCAUCAGAGGGGAUAACACUUGGAAACAGGUGCUAAACCGCUACUGAUGGAUGGACCCGCGUCGCAUUAGCUAGUUGGGGAGGUAACGGCUCACCAAGGCAACGAUGCAUAGCCGACCGUAGAGGUGGUUCGGCCCUACUGGGACUGGGAUCCGGCCCAGACUCCUACGGGAGGCAGCAUUAGGGAAUCUUCGGCAAUGGACGAAAGUCUGACCCGGCAACGCCGCGUGAGUGAAGAAGGUUUUCGGAUCGUAAAACUCUUUUGUUAGAGAAGCGGUAUCUAACCAGAAAGCCACGGCUAACUACGUGCCAGCAGCCGCGGUAAUAC
rnacentral:rRNA from 1 species